UUACGGUCAAAUCACGCUGAAACACCGGUUCUCGUACGAUCACCGAAGUUAAGCAGCGUAGAGCCAGGUCAGUACU